UGAGCCGGGAGUGGCGCCCCCUGGCGCCCGGCCGCGGCGGCGGCAGAGAACGGAAUUCCCGCUCCGGCCCGGAGCUCGCUCGCUCUGAAACGAGUUCGGUACCGGAAAGCUGAUGACAAGAACGGGGGGAAAGACUGGCCUAAAUUAUGUUCUGCCAUUCAGUCCUGUCCUUCAUUUCCUCUAUCUUGCCUUUUUUAUUUCACCUUAAACCACCACGCUGCUUUCACUUUAAAAGCUCAAAAAUAUCCAAUAUCUAUUUUACCCAAGAUGUGAAGAUAUUUGAAGGUGAUGAUCAGAAAAGACUGGAAUUCAUGACUACAGAAGAUUAUAAAUUGUUUGCUUAGGUACACUAGAUCAGGUACCUCCUAAUGGACAGGCAUUUGCAAGACACAGCUACAGGGAAUGGCUUCACACAGAAAUUUAGGAAGCGCAGGGAGUAGGACAGCUCAGUUGACAGACCCAGACCAUUUAUUCUACAUAGCCCAGAAAAAUAUUCAUGUGAAAAAUAUAAAAACAGAAAAUUACUUUAUGCCAUUAUAUCUUUUAAAAGUACAGAAAAGUUUGAUGAGAUUAUUUUAUUCAUGGCUUCAUGUCUAUAGAAAAGUAGAUGAGCCAUAAUAAAAGACCAGUUUCAAAACAAACAUUUUUAAAUUCAGCCCAGGAACUGGCAGGGAUGUUGAGUUCCUAAUAUUAGAUGGCAAUGACAUUGUGUAAACAAGGAGCAUGAGAAGAGAAAGUCCUAACCCCAUAGAGCUCCAGGAACUCAGAGAACCUCCAUAGUAUAAGGUGUAUAGUGUGUGAUUCCUGAUACUAAGGGCACACUGAAAUGCUUAACACACAUGAAAGCAAACUGAGAUGCUUGCAAGAAUUCCUAUUUACUUUCUUUUGACACUCUAAAUCAAAAUACCUUUAAAUUUGUAUCCAUGCAGUAGCAAAUUUGUAUACAAAAUGAAUGCAAAUUUUCUGUGAUAUAUGCAAUACCAAAACUGCUGAUUCCUUAAAAAAAAAUUUUCCACAAGAUUACUACCACAGCCUGUUCCCAGAUUUGUUACAUGGUAUGCAAACUCUGCACCCACUUAUACGCUUGUACACUGAAUGAAGUAUGGCUCACUUCAAAAAUACCUCCUUUUUACAUUGACUCAAUUUUAGUUGGUCCAGAUAAAGAAGCUGUUGAGAUAAUGGAAAAUUCCUCAUUACAGAGAAGAUCUGACUGUGCACAGGAAAAGAGAGCUCUCUGCACAGCCACCUCUCUCUACAUCUUCGAAGACUUUGGUAGUUUCACAUUGCGGAGGGGACUGGAGAUUUCUUUUUCUCAAACCCAUUGCAGACAGAAUGUGGGAAUAUAACAAACCUUUGUAUCACAGCUGAUCAACCAAAAAAAAACCCAAAGUCAUACAAUCAGUCAGUGCUCUAUAGUCUACUUAGAAAUGCUCUACACAUCACAGAUUACCUCUAUAUAAAGACAAGCCUCACCUCUCUAUGUAGUGGCCAGCACGUAUCCUCAUUCAGGGUAUUUUUGAAUGAGAAUUGAGAUGCCUAUACCAGCAGACCAGUAAAAUGAUUCUGCUGUUAUGACAGUAGGAACAUAAGCCCAAACAAAGGUAAAGAAAUAAAGUACAGUGCACUUGAAGUUAUGCAGGAUAAUCUCGGGAGUUUCUGUGAAGUCAAAAGAAAAAAAAAAUUUAUAACUUCUAUCUUAUUGUCACAAAGUAUUCUGUAAGCACUCAUGCUCCUUGGCCCAGUUUCUUCUCUUUCCAAUCUUGUUUUUCAAGUGGAGCUCCUUUACUAGUAAGCAUUCAUUUGAAUAGUCAUAGUAUGAGGCACAGCCUCUGAGCCAGCAAUUUCAUUCCUCUCCCUUCUGUGCAGAGUUUUUCCUCUGCAGGUUCCUAUCUCUGUCGGAUAUAAUACAAAUCACUCUAAUGGAUUAAACUCAAAAUGCUGCUCCCAUUUGGCACAGAGUGAGCUCUUACAGAACCCCAAAGCCAAAUGCAUGUUUUCCAAACAGAAGCAAUAUGCUACAAGGGCUUGGUUCAAGGUUCAAGCCUUAACACUAUCCUAGACUUCAAGGGACAAAGCAACGGGGCUCCUGCUGAUAAUUUUGGUAAAAUGGGAACAUGGACACCAGCCUCUGUGGAAAAUCCUCAGCAAGUGGGAAGGAACCUGAACUUCUUGCCUCUUCAAAGGAAGCCAUCAUCCAGAGAGGUGAGAUCACACCCAGCCGGUGUGAUGGCUGACUGCUGCCAAAAAAGGGAGGGCCCACCACCCCCUCUGCAGAGACCCAAUCCAGUAUGGGCACAUGGAGCUAGAUCAGCUUGCUGACUGGGGACAGUGAUUAGCCUUUGCUUCUUGUUUCAAGGGGUUAAUCUUCUGUGGAAUCAUCUGCUUGAUCGACUUGUGGUCACAUCUGAAUCCCAGCUCAGGGAAGCAGCCUGUGAGCACAGGGCUGUGGGGAAAGGGCCUGCUCCAUACCCAGCUUACAUUGUGAAAUUUCCCCAUAAGAAAAGCAUGAUCAGAGUCCUCAGCAUUAGACAGUGAAGGACAAAGAUGAGAGUCUCUACACAUUGCAAUUAAUGAGAUGAAUGAGUACCCAUUUUCCUAAAUGGCAAGCCUGCCAUUGAAAAUUAGGUGGGGAAAAUCAAUACAAUUUCUUGGAGGUUUAUAUUGCUUCAGAGUGCAUUAAUCCUCACCCUGGCAGUGAGAAAGUCUCCAUGAAAGAUUGUGUAGGAGGGAUGUGUGCUGCCCUGGAGCUGCAAAGUCCUUUGAACCUGCUGGAUGGGGUAGACAGGGCAGGGAGGUGAGGUAAGCCCUGAGGGGAGCAGGCAGCUGACAUGGUGAUCUCUCAACUCCACAAAGCCCGUGGAAGGGUUGCUGUGACCACAGUUCUUCAGUGGGCUUGCUCUGGCCACCAUAUCAUUGCCAGCCAACUCACAGUGUCCCUGGCAGGGUAGAACUAAUAAUAACUGAACUACAGCAAAUGUCAUCACUUCCCACAGCCCCUUCCCUACUGAGCCAGGCACUCAGAGCUUCAGCCCAACAGGGGAAAAGGGACAUUCCUCACCCAGUGUGAAUGCAAUCAAAACAUGUCACAGUACUUCUAAUUAAAUCCUACUUAAAAUUAUUGCCUCUGUAGAAUUGCCUGCAAGGAAAAAGCCCCAGAAUAACUCAGCUACCAUGUAAUUCAAUUCACCAUUGUUGUCUGUGACCAAUGCCAAACACAUCCGAGAAAACACCAUCACUGACAUAAAUUCCUGCAAUCGUAUGAACAAGCAGAAAUGUCUUCCUGACUGCACCUGGGAUUUGGCCAAUGAUACAUUAACCACCAUUAUAAUUUUCUUGUAGGUAGUUUAACCACACAGGCUUUCUGUAUUGAAAUAAUUAGGACUUUGGAGAUUCCCUAAACAAGCUCCCAUGAGAAAAGAUUUUCUGGGUAAGGUUUCUGGUAAAUUGCUCAGGCCAGAAUUUGAUUACAAUAUCUCUUGCAGUGACAGAAAGUUAAAAAUCACAAUGUAAUAUUGGAAAUGUAUCCCUUCAGCUGCAAAUGGGAUAUAUUAUGUGAUCUGCUGAUACUUGUUUCUUUUUAUCUACAUAGCCAAAUUAUAUGAACGUUAUGAAUCUUCUGUGCUGGCACUGACUGAUGAAACAUUUUGGAAAUUAUCUGCUCAUACACCUAUAUGCUUAGUACAACAGAAAGAUGGAAAUUUAACUGUAUUCGUUACUUUCAUUGACUUUUUUUCCCCUUAUGAAUCUAACUUUAGUUUUACAGGACUGGAUUCUGUGAAACUAAGGAGUACACUUGUGCUGCUGCAUGGGAAAUGCCUUGUUUUUAAUGAGUUGCCAACUUAAUGACCUGUGGGAUUUCAAAGUUCCUUUUUUGUUUUAAAGGAAAUGAUUAAUAUAUAUUCUGUCUUUAAUUAUAGUGCUAUAAUUGUGUGAAAGGAAUUCCAUUCAUUCUUUUCUUCAUUUAAAUGUCUUACAUUUGUGAAUGUUAGGCAACAUAUUCUCCUAAAAGUUCAGUCUGCAAAACAGAGAUAUAAUAUUAUUCACUCUCAAAUAUGAGAGUAAUGGGAGUACUGGUAUUCCUCAGUUUAGGGCAGAAUAUUUUGAUUGUUACUUUAAAAGGAUAGACAAGUUAUUUAAAUAAUUGCUUGACUAAAAUAAAAUGAAUUUAUAUGGAAAUAAAUACAUGGCUUCAAUUACCUAUUAAUGUAAUACUGCUCCUUAUUUUUUUACCAAAAGAAUGCUGCAAAACAGGAAAUGUUAUGUGUAUAUUUUUGUUGAUUCUGUAAAUGGUUACUAUAGCCCACUAGCAAAUGUCCUAGGAUAAAUUUGGAUAAUUGGUAAUUACACUUUAGAAAACAAAUCUUAAUCCUACUGCUCUGUCUCUAUAAUCUAAGGACUUUCUACUAACUCUGAAAAUUAUUCAUGACUUCAGUCUCCUGUUUUUGCCCCGUGUAAUUGGGAGAUCAGUUUUUACGGUUUUCAGGAGCUUUUGUAUGUGCUGCAUACAAAUCCCAUCCCUGUGACUCAGACAUUUUGAUCCUUUGAUUAUCAGCCAGAUAUUUUUCAACAACCUGUAA